CGCGGGGUAGAGCAGUUGGUAGCUCGUCGGGCUCAUAACCCGAAGGUCGUAGGUUCAAGUCCUGCCCCCGCAACCA
rnacentral:tRNA from 8 species